CAUGCCUACGGGACGCAGCAGUGGGGAUUAUUGGGCAAUGGGCGCAAGCCUGACCCAGCAACGCCGCGUGAAGGAAGAAGGCUUUCGGGUUGUAAACUUCUUUUCUCAGGGACGAAGAAAGUGACGGUACCUGAGGAAUAAGCCACGGCUAACUACGUGCCAGCAGCCGCGGUAAUACGUAGGUGGCAAGCGUUAUCCGGAUUUACUGGGUGUAAAGGGCGUGUAGGCGGGACUGCAAGUCAGAUGUGAAAACCACGGGCUCAACCUGUGGCCUGCAUUUGAAACU
rnacentral:rRNA from 1 species